GAUGAACGCUGGCGGCGUGCCUAAUACAUGCAAGUCGAGCGAACAGACGAGGAGCUUGCUCCUCUGACGUUAGCGGCGGACGGGUGGGUAACACGUGGAUAACCUACCUAUAAGACUGGGAUAACUUCGGGAAACCGGAGCUAAUACCGGAUAAUAUAUUGAACCGCAUGGUUCAAUAGUGAAAGCCGGUUUUGCUGUCACUUAUAGAUGGAUCCGCGCCGCAUUAGCUAGUUGGUAAGGUAACGGCUUACCAAGGCAACGAUGCGUAGCCGACCUGAGAGGGUGAUCGGCCACACUGGAACUGAGACACGGUCCAGACUCCUACGGGAGGCAGCAGUAGGGAAUCUUCCGCAAUGGGCGAAAGCCUGACGGAGCAACGCCGCGUGAGUGAUGAAGGUCUUCGGAUCGUAAAACUCUGUUAUUAGGGAAGAACAAAUGUGUAAGUAACUAUGCACGUCUUGACGGUACCUAAUCAGAAAGCCACGGCUAACUACGUG
rnacentral:rRNA from 1 species